UGCCCACCGACCGCGCUCCCCGGCGAUCACGCCCGCUCUUCUGGAUAGGUCUUGAGAGAGAGAAAGAGAUUGCAUGCCAGUGCUUCUACAUGCCACGCCCCCUUUAUUAAAGCCACCAAUCAUGCUAUUUUCUCGUUGCACUUGAACCUGGCGAGGCGCUCAGGGAGAGCUAGUCUGGUUCAGCGGCCUGUGCCUCUGCGCGAUAACACCAUUCGCCUGCCGUCUUCCCCAGCAGACACACGAACACCAAAAUAUUCCUACAGUUGAAUAGAAUUAAUCGUCUGGACAUUAUUUCUCUUCUCCACUAAGGUUCUUGCGAGGUGCUCAUCGAACAUAAUGAGGUUCCUUCAAGUAAGCAUCAUGGCUCUCCUGUCUUUGGUCCUGCUGGGAGGAGAAGCUGAUGGGGUUGGACGUCGGCUUGAAAUCGCGGGGAGAAGCAACCUUGACUGCAGACUCCCUUGUCUGUGUAAGGACAAUCAACUCAAUUGCCAGAUAGUUACAGACUGUUGUAGGAAAUACUUUUUAGAAAAUAAAUUGCAGAAGUACCUUGAUUGCGAGGAAGGCUGGAAAAAGAGCCUGUAUCAGAAAUCGGAAAUAUCCCAAAAAGAACGGAACUGCUAACGUGAUGACGAAAAUAAGGCUUUCCUCUAUAUAG